UACGUAGGUGGCAAGCGUUGUCCGGAUUUACUGGGCGUAAAGAGCGCGCAGGCGGUCGUUCAAGUCGCGUGUGAAAUCUCCCGGCUCAACUGGGAGGGUGCGCCGAAUACUGAAUGACUUGGAGUGCGGGAGAGGAAAGUGGAAUUCCUGGUGUAGCGGUGAAAUGCGCAGAUAUCAGGAGGAACACCUAUGGCGAAGGCAGCUCGCUGGGACGGUACUGACGCUGAGACGCGAAAGCGUGGGGAGCGAACAGG
rnacentral:rRNA from 1 species